rnacentral:misc_RNA from 1 species
AUAAUCAUUCCACAUGAAAAAGUUAUUUGGUCUGUUAUGUUGUUAUACAAUAACAAAUGAAUAUACCAGCAGCUAUUUUGCCUCUACCUUAUAGAAUCUCCCAUUCCUUGAGGCAAGGUGUUGCAGACUUGCAGCUUUCAGCUUUCGGCCUUGAAUCAUAGCAAAUUACUAUGCCAGUAUGCCACCAACCCCUUUCCAAAAGGCGCCAACCUCAACUCAAUUUUAUUUAUUUAUUUAGCGAAAGGAGUCAUUGCAUAGUUUGAUUAUACAUACCUAAUGAUGAAGACAACUGGUUGCCAAAAAGCAAUAGAUUCUAUUAAAAGUUAAUCAAGGGCACUUUUCAUCUCAAUUUUUUUCUAAAAAAAAUGUCUAUUUGGCAUUAAGUUUGAAAUUAUUUUUGCAACACAUCAAACUGUAUAAGUUGGUUGAGGUGGCUUUCGUUAAAGUGUCCAAGGGGAUGGUUUUGCCAAAAGUUGUAACUGCAAAAAUAAAAACAGAUGAUUAAUAUGUUAUUA